GCUCGCCGGAGCUAGCUGAGGCGGCCAACGACGAAGGGAAAAUAACCCUAGUUGCUGUCCUCAUUUCCAGCAGCCACAUAAAACCCUUAGAAGAUCCGAGCUCGAGUGGAGCACGGUGACCUGCCGAUACUCGGAGAUUUUUGCUGUAUAUAAGUUUUGCAGACACAGAGAUCCUUUUGAUAUUACUGUUGAUUUUGGACUUUCAUAUAGAGUUGCUCAGAGAUCUCGACGUGCUGAUUUUCUGGCAAUGCCACGAGCCCGUGGUCGCGGUUGGGGCGGUAGCCGUGCCCGUAGUCGCAGGCGUGGUUACGACAGUGGUAGUGGUCGCGGUCGUGGUCGUGCAUGUCAGCGUGCCACUACUACUGAUCUUGGUUUGGAUGAGG